AAGGAGCUGUGGGUUAUACUCAGGAUUGGUUUCCCCACAUGGCAGGCUAGCCUGGCCAUUCUACAGUCUGCCCAGAGCUGCAGCGUAAAGAGGCAUUAGACGGUACAUAUUGUUGAUUUCCAGGAAGUUACACUGCCCUACUUUAAGGUGAUGCUCAUUAGUCUGCAAACCUGGAUGCUGAAGAAAUCCAUGUCAUAGAAGGACAGAAGUCUUGUAUCCUGUGCCAACUCUCAUUGUUUGGUGGUGAUUGCCUGGAGUGCUGGGGCUAGUCUGGGUUCUGCAGGAAAAAAGGGUCUUGCUGUGUCCCUAGGCUGGAGUGCAGUGGUGCAGUCUCAAUUAUGCCAGAUGGCUCUGAGGUCCAAGUAAAAGAUAAUAUUUGCAACCAACUCACUGGAGUUGACCAUCAAAACUCUUUUCCAGGUGGAAAAGCACCCUGAAUCCAGCUUCCUGCUAUGAAUGAAUACUGAGCUUGGGUUGGUGGAAAUUGAUUUUCGAGAUAAAGAAUCCAGCCAGGACUGUGAAGCCCCAGGGAAUGGCUGCACUUCAAGUCAGAAGGAGCCUGGGUCCCUGAAUCAUCAUGUGGAAGGCUCUCCACCCAGUUCAAUGGUGCAAUGGACCACAAGCAGGAACUUAAUUUAGAAUGUGCUUAUUUUGUUAGAUUUUGUAAUUAAAAAAUGGAUCCCACUCUGACUGAAUCAGAGAUGUUGAAGUCAUUGAUCUGGGAGGGUAUGUUCCUGGGAGUGGGUGGCUGAGGUGAGAUUUCAAACAAGGUUGUUGAGGAAGAGGAGUUCAAGUGACUGAGAGGACAUAUUGUUGGAUAAAUUGUGCGUGCGUGUGUGUGUGUGUGUGUGUGUGUGUUGAAAUCACCAAGAAUAGGGAAAGAAGUGUAUAAGAGAGUGUGGCAGUGAGCCCAGAGCUAAAAGAAAUCAUGAGCAGGGAGUAAUUCACGAGCAGAAAGUAGAAGCAACGAGAGGCAGUUAAUGAGAGAAGCAGCUGAGGGAUUUUAGCAAGGGAUGGG
rnacentral:lncRNA from 1 species